rnacentral:rRNA from 1 species
UAUGUAGGGGGCAAGCGUUGUCCGGAUUUAUUGGGCGUAAAGCGCGUGUAGGUGGCCAAGUAGGUCCGCUGUGAAAACUUGAGGCUCAACCUCGAGACGUCGGUUGAAACCGUAAGGCUAGAGUCCGGAAGAGGAGAGUGGAAUUCCCGGUGUAGCGGUGAAAUGCGCAGAUAUCGGGAAGAACACCCGUGGCGAAGGCGGCUCUCUGGGACGGUACUGACGCUGAGACGCG